UCCGGUUUGUCACCGGCAGUCACCUUAGAGUGCCCAACCUAAUGCUGGCAACUAAGAUCAAGGGUUGCGCUCGUUGCGGGACUUAACCCAACAUCUCACGACACGAGCUGACGACAACCAUGCACCACCUGUCACUCUGUCCCCCGAAGGGGAACGUCCUAUCUCUAGGAUUGUCAGAGGAUGUCAAGACCUGGUAAGGUUCUUCGCGUUGCUUCGAAUUAAACCACAUGCUCCACCGCUUGUGCGGGCCCCCGUCAAUUCCUUUGAGUUUCAGCCUUGCGGCCGUACUCCCCAGGCGGGGUGCUUAUCGCGUUAGCUUCGACACUGAGCUCCGAGUUGAGCCCAACAUCCAGUUCGCAUCGUUUAGGGCGUGGACUAC
rnacentral:misc_RNA from 1 species